UCCCUGGUGGUCCAAUGGUUAAGAAUCUGCAUUGCAAUGCAAGAGACUCAGGUUCCAUCCCUGGUCAGGGAA
rnacentral:tRNA from 1 species